rnacentral:rRNA from 1 species
AUUGAACGCUGGCGGCAGGCCUAACACAUGCAAGUCGAACGAGUGGCGGACGGGUGAGUAAUGUCUGGGAAACUGCCCGAUGGAGGGGGAUAAAUACUGGAAACGGUAGCUAAUACCGCAUACCAUCGGAUGUGCCCAGAUGGGAUUAGCUAGUAGGUGGGGUAACGGCUCACCUAGGCGACGAUCCCUAGCUGGUCUGAGAGGACGACCAGCCACACUGGGACGUAGACAAUGUCCAGACCCCUACGGGAGGCAGCAGUGGGGAAUAUUUCACAAAUGGCGCAAGCCUGAUGCAGCCCUGCCGCGUGUAUGAAGAAGGCCUUCGGGGUGUAAAGUACUUUCCGCGGGGAGGCGUUACUCGCAGAAGAAGCACCGGCUAACUCCGUGCCAGCAGCCGCGGUAAUUC